GGGAAUGUGGCUUAGUGGUAGAGUGCUUGCCUAGCAUGCAUGAGGGCCCUUGGGUUCAAUUCCUCAGUACCA
rnacentral:tRNA from 1 species